rnacentral:rRNA from 1 species
AACGAACGCUGGCGGCAUGCCUAACACAUGCAAGUCGAACGAGACCUUCGGGUCUAGUGGCGCACGGGUGCGUAACGCGUGGGAACCUGCCCUUAGGUUCGGAAUAACUCCCCGAAAGGGGUGCUAAUACCGGAUAAUGUCUUCGGACCAAAGAUUUAUCGCCUUUGGAUGGGCCCGCGUUGGAUUGGCUAGUUGGUAGGGUAAAAGCCUACCAAGGCGACGAUCCAUAGCUGGUCUGAGAGGAUGAUCAGCCACACUGGGACUGAGACACGGCCCAGACUCCUACGGGAGGCAGCAGUGGGGAAUAUUGGACAAUGGGCGAAAGCCUGAUCCAGCGAUGCCGCGUGAGUGAUGAAGGCCUUAGGGUUGUAAAGCUCUUUUACCCGGGAUGAUAAUGACAGUACCGGGAGAAUAAGCUCCGGCUAACUCCGUG